AUCAGACGUGGCCCUGGGUGAUGAUGAGGGGUGACUGCGAGCGGGUAAAGCCACAGAUGGAAAGGUCCCGCAGCUGGACGGGCCACAGAGCAUUCUGGGGACGCUGAGAAGGCUGAUGGGGGCCCUCUGUCUCCCUUGCGGACUGUAAGCUUCAGCACGGCAGGGCCCUUGGUCAUCUUCAUGCGUGUGUCUCCAGCACCGCGCACUGUGCUUUCAGCACUCAAGGAACAUCUAGGGUGACCACCUGGCAUCAGGGCACAAGUACACUGAAGUUCAAAGCUCAGCUCUGCCCUUCCUAGGAUGUGCUGCUGAAACUUCUCUUCCAUCACCUUCUCUUCAGGAGGGGCCUGAAACACCUGCUUCUCAGGACCAUUGUGAAGAUCCAUGGUGAUCAAAUGCGUGAAGGCACCAGGACAUGGCCUGGUACAGAGCCUGCCAGCUGUGUGACUUGGGCUGGUUGCUUAACCUUCCUGUGCCCCAGUUCCUUGGCUGCUAAAACAGGGCCCACUGUUCUGGGAUUGCAACAAGACAGACUAUUCCAGAACACAGUGGCUUUGGAUGGCAAUCACAUUAUCCCAUGUCGCUUUGUGUUAUCCGGGCCCUGGAUGAUCUUGGCUGGGUGUGGGGCAAGUCCUUCUUCCUGCAGGCGUGUGAGUCUGUGGGUGGCACUGUUCCUUGUGUUUUUCAUCCCGCUGGGAUCAGUGGAGCAGGCACGGCCCGUUGAUCUCAUGGAGUUGGCAGGAUGCAAGAGGGAAGCAGAAAGACAUGGAGCCCCUGAAGGCCCAGCCUUGUCACCUCUGGACCUGGCACCAGUGGCCAAAGCAAGGGACAUGGUCGAGUCCAGACUCAGGACAGGGAAGAACAUUCUGCCCAGGGUGAAGCCAGAGUGAAGCUGAAGACCUGAGCAGAACAAGAGACCAGCCUCCUCCAAGCAAGAGGGAAUCUCCUGACUGGCCUUUGAACCGGCCUGUAAGCUCUCCAUGGGGCUUCUGUACUGCUGGCCCACCUACAGAUUUUGCAUUGACCAACCUCCUUAGUUGUAUGAACCAACUGCUAUGAUAAGUCUCUUUGUCUCCCUGUCUUUGUCCCUCUGCCUAAUGCAUUGGUUCUGUUUCUCUGACGAACACAGUGAACAAUGAGCUACUCCACACAAAGCUCCUAGAACCCAGCCUGGCCCAUCAUAGAUGAUCCGUGUAAACUGGAGUGUC